rnacentral:rRNA from 1 species
GAGUUUGAUCAUGGCUCAGAACGAACGUUAGCGGCGCGCCUAACACAUGCAAGUCGAGCGAGAAAGGGAGCAAUCCCCGGUACAGCGGCGCACGGGUGAGUAACACGUAGGUAACCUACCUCCGAGUGGUGGAUAACCUUCCGAAAGGAGGGCUAAUACAGCAUGAGCCCACGAUUCCGAGAGGAGUUGAGGGAAAAGUCGGCCAAUCCACGGAAGCUGACGCUUGGAGACGGGCCUGCGGCCCAUCAGCUAGUUGGUGAGGUAAUGGCUCACCAAGGCGAAGACGGGUAGCUGGUCUGAGAGGAUGAUCAGCCACACUGGAACUGAGACACGGUCCAGACUCCUACGGGAGGCAGCAGUGGGGAAUCUUGCGCAAUGGGCGAAAGCCUGACGCAGCGACGCCGCGUGGGUGAUGAAGGCCUUCGGUUGUAAGCCCUGUGG